GAUGAACGCUGGCGGCGUGCCUAAUACAUGCAAGUCGAGCGGACGGACGAGGAGCUUGCUUGGUUGUCGAGUGCGGCGGAGGGGUGUGUAACACGUGUAUCACCCCCCUAUCAGUCUGAGAUCACCUCGGAAAACCGGAUAUUACACCGUAUGAUCUUUUGAACCGCGUGGUUCAUAAGUGAAAUACGGUCUUGCUGGCACUUAUAGAUGGAUCCGCGCUGCAUUAGCUAGUUGGUGAGGUAACGGCUUACCAAGGCAACGAAGCAUAGCCGAGCUGAGAGGGCGGUCAGCCGCCCUGGGAUUGAGACACGGUACAGAGUCCUACGGGAGGGGGCAGUAGGGAAACUGCAGCAAUGGGCGGAAGCCUGACGGAGCAACGCCGCGUGAGUGAGGAAGGUCUUCGGAUCGUAAAACUCUGUUAUUGGGGAAGAACAUAUGUGUAAGUAACUGGGCACGUCUUGACGGUACCUAAUCAGAAAGCCACGGCUAACUACGUG
rnacentral:rRNA from 1 species